GAUGAACGCUAGCGGCAGGCUUAAUACAUGCAAGUCGAACGGUAAGGUCUCUUCGGAGAUACACGAGUGGCGCACGGGUGCGUAACGCGUAUGCAAUCUACCUUUAACUGGGAAAUAGCCCCGAGAAAUCGGGAUUAAUGUCCCAUAUUAUUCUUUGAAUGCAUAUUCUUAGAAUGAAAGCUCCGGCGGUUAUUGAUGGGCAUGCGUGACAUUAGCUAGUUGGUGAGGUAACGGCCCACCAAGGCUACGAUGUCUAGGGGUCCUGAGAGGGUUAACCCCCACACUGGUACUGAGACACGGACCAGACUCCUACGGGAGGCAGCAGUAAGGAAUAUUGGGCAAUGGACGCAAGUCUGACCCAGCCAUGCCGCGUGAAGGAUGAAUGUCCUAUGGAUUGUAAACUUCUUUUAUGCAGGAAAAACAUCCCGGUCGAGAACCGGGGCUGAUGGUACUGUAUGAAUAAGCAUCGGCUAACUCCGUGCCAGCAGCCGCCGUAAUAC
rnacentral:rRNA from 1 species